AUUGAACGCUGGCGGCAGGCCUAACACAUGCAAGUCGAACGAGAGGCGGACGGGUGAGUAAUGUCUGGGGAACUGCCCGGUAGAGGGGGAUAACUACUGGAAACGGUGGCUAAUACCGCAUACUAUCGGAUGAAACCAUAUGGGAUUAGCUAGUAGGUGGGGUAAAGGCUCACCUAGGCGACGAUCGCUAGCUGGGCUGAGAUGGUGACGAGCUCCACUGUGACUGAGAUACGGCCCAGACACCAACGGGAGGCACAAGUGGGUAACAUUGCACAAUGGGAGCAAGCCUGGUGCAGCCAUGCCGCGUGUAUGAAGAAGGCCUUAGGUUUGUAAAGUACGUUCAGCGGGGAGGCGUUACCCGCAGAAGAAGCACCGGCUAACUCCGUGCCAUCAGCAGCGGUAAUUC
rnacentral:rRNA from 1 species